GACGAACGCUGGCGGCGUGCCUAAUACAUGCAAGUCGAGCGAAGUUUUUCUGGUGCUUGCACUAGAAAAACUUAGCGGCGAACGGGUGAGUAACACGUAAAGAACCUGCCUCAUAGACUGGGACAACUAUUGGAAACGAUAGCUAAUACCGGAUAACAGUAUUUCUCGCAUGAGAGAUAUUUAAAAGUUUGUUAUGCUAACACUAUGAGAUGGCUUUGCGGUGCAUUAGCUAGUUGGUGGGGUAAAGGCCCACCAAGGCGACGAUGCAUAGCCGACCUGAGAGGGUGAUCGGCCACACUGGGACUGGGACACGGCCCAGACUCCUACGGGAGGCAGCAGUAGGGAAUCUUCCGCAAUGGGCGAAAGCCUGACGGAGCAACGCCGCGUGAGUGAAGAAGGAUUUCGGUUCGUAAAGCUCUGUUGUUAGGGAAGAAUGGAUAUGUAGUAACUAUACAUGUAAGAGACGGUACCUAACCAGAAAGCCACGGCUAACUACGUG
rnacentral:rRNA from 1 species